rnacentral:sRNA from 1 species
AGGGUUUCUUUUGAUUUUAUAUUCGUGUUAUUUUGGGUUUUCACUAGCAACCCAAAUCAAUAAUUGAUGGAUUAGUGUUACAUGUUAGUCUUAUUUAUAUUUAUACACAAAACAUUUUAAGCAUGUCAUCAUCUUAGACAUUUUGUCCAAGUUAGGUCUUGAGCUUCUGCGAUGUUCUUAAAAAACUUCUUGUUUUGAUACACCUUGCGGUCAAAACUUUUAUUCAUACGGAAAAACGUAGAUGUCGUCUGUGAGGUUUUUUAAAAUUUCAUGCUGUCUUUUCACCUCCCAACUCAAACUUUAGACAUGCUACUCCGGCACAAGAAAACAAAAUAAAAACUUGUCAGCAGUUCUCCAAAGCAUUUGUCCAGUUCCCUCUAUACUUCAGUACAUCUGCAGUGACCUGACCCAUGUUAGUUCACUUUUUUCUGAUGGACCACCCAGACCAACGGACGCCCCAUUCCCCUGUUUUGGGGGCCUGUCAACGGUUGGCUGGACACAUAUCAUUAAUCUAAGUUUCGGGCGGCCGAGCUGGGAUUGAAAUAUUUCUAUCAAAUCGAAAGCUGUCUGUCACAGAGCAAUGAAAUUUUUAUAAAUGCACAACUCCGAACGGGAAGUGCGAGGGACUGUAACUCUGAUAGAAACAUCAGCGGAGAUAGCAGCAAAUUUAAAUUGAUGGAGCGCGUAUAAUUUUGGAUGUCCAUCUCGGACGGGUGGCAGGUGCGAGGCAUUUAUCUGGCGGCGAUAAAAAUGAAAGAAAACUGAUCGGAAAAACUAACUGUGGCCGCGUAAUUUUUCGGGAGGCCCAAGGACAAGCCCUGACAUCCUAACAGUUGCGCGCCAUUUGAUUUUGAUUAAUUAUCCUAGUCCCAACUGACACGGCUCUUUCCUGUGCCCGCGGGCUAGUCCUGUGACCCGUAACCGCCCCGUCCACUUGCGGCACCACCCGCUCCACCAUUCCAUUGACUUGUCCAGUUCCAAGGUGAAAGCGAGAAAACUUCGGCGGGGGCCUUUUAAGGGUUGUCAACUUAUCUCGGAGAUUUAUUGAGAACUUGGCCUGUUAUGGAACGCAAUUUGAAGUGUAUUAAUUGUGGUGCCCCAUACCCACCCCCAAUAUUGUUAAUAUCAUCCGAUCAUUAAUUAUGAAAAUCCAGCAUCUUCUGCGAGAUAUACACGGCGAAAAUAUUUAA